AGAUCAUCCAGCUCCAUCCCCUUACCAUGGGAAGGAUACCUUCCACUAGACCAGCUUGUCUCCAGAGCAGAGGGGCUGCAGUUCUUGAAGCAUCUCCAUGGCCUCCUCUGGACUCACUUCAGCAGCUUCAUGUCCUUCUGAUGCUGGGGGCCUCAGAAGUGGAGGUAGCUCUGCAGUGAACCACUAAGACCCAGAAGUGACCUUUCCAGUUGAAACAAGG